GGCAGAUGUCAGCGGUUCGAAUCCGCUUAUCUCCA
rnacentral:tRNA from 1 species